CCCUUGUUUAACAAAACCAUGUCCUUUUGAAUAUAUUUAAGGUCUAACCUGCCCAAUGAGGGUUUAAAUGGCCGCAGUAUUUUGACUGUGCAAAGGUAGCAUAAUUAUUAGUUUUUUAAUUGAAAGCUUGUAUGAAGGGUUGGACGAGAUAAAAUCUGUCUUUAUUUGAAUUAAAAUAGAAUUUAACUUUUAAGUCAAAAGGCUUAAAUUUUAAUAAAAGACGAGAAGACCCUAUAGAUCUUUAUUUAGUUGGAAUUUUAAUAAUUUAGGAUUAUUUUAGUUUAAAGUUUUGGCUAAAUUUUAUUGGGGUAAUAUAAAGAUUAAAAAAAUUCUUUUUAUUUAUAACAUAAAUUUAUGAAUAUAUGAUCCAAUAUUAUUGAUUAUAAGAUUAAGUUACCUUAGGGAUAACAGCGUAAUUUUUUUGGAGAGCUCAUAUCGAUAAAAAAGUUUGCGA
rnacentral:rRNA from 1 species